GUCGAACGAGAACGGGUUAUAGCUUGCUAUAAUUGUCAGCUAAGUGGCGCACGGGUGAGUAAUGUAUAGGUAAUAUGCCUUUUACUAAGGGAUAACAGAUGGAAACGUUUGCUAAUACCUUAUACUCCGUUUAUGUAUAAAUGUAAAUGGGAAAGAUUUAUCGGUAAGAGAUUGGCCUGUAUUGUAUCAGUUAGUUGGUGGGGUAAUGGCCUACCAAGACAAUGACGCAUAACUGGUUUGAGAGGAUGAUCAGUCACACUGGAACUGAGACACGGUCCAGACUCCUACGGGAGGCAGCAGUGGGGAAUAUUGCACAAUGGACGGAAGUCUGAUGCAGCAACGCCGCGUGGAGGAUGACACAUUUCGGUGCGUAAACUCCUUUUAUAUAAGAAGAUAAUGACGGUAAUAUAUGAAUAAGCACCGGCUAACUCCGUGCCAGCAGCCGCGGUAAUACGGGGGGUGCAAGCGUUACUCGGAAUCACUGGGCGUAAAGAGCAUGUAGGCGGAUUGAUAAGUUUGAAGUGAAAUCCUAUAGCUUAACUAUAGAACUGCUUUGAAAACUGUUAAUCUAGAAUGUGGGAGAGGUAGAUGGAAUUUCUGGUGUAGGGGUAAAAUCCGUAGAGAUCAGAAGGAAUACCGAUUGCGAAGGCGAUCUACUAGAACACUAUUGACGCUGAGAUGCGAAAGCGUGGGGAGCAAACAGGAUUAGAUACCCUGGUAGUCCACGCCCUAAACGAUGUACACAAGUUGUU
rnacentral:rRNA from 1 species